rnacentral:rRNA from 1 species
GGGGGGGGCUUAAACAUGCAAGUCGAGCGGAUGAGAGGAGCUUGCUCCUCGAUUCAGCGGCGGACGGGUGAGUAAUGCCUAGGAAUCUGCCUAGUAGUGGGGGACAACGUUUCGAAAGGAACGCUAAUACCGCAUACGUCCUACGGGAGAAAGUGGGGGAUCUUCGGACCUCACGCUAUUAGAUGAGCCUAGGUCGGAUUAGCUAGUUGGUAGGGUAAAGGCCUACCAAGGCGACGAUCCGUAACUGGUCUGAGAGGAUGAUCAGUCACACUGGAACUGAGACACGGUCCAGACUCCUACGGGAGGCAGCAGUGGGGAAUAUUGGACAAUGGGCGAAAGCCUGAUCCAGCCAUGCCGCGUGUGUGAAGAAGGCCUUCGGGUCGUAAAGCACUUUAAGUUGGGAGGAAGGGCUCAUAGCGAAUACCUGUGAGUUUUGACGUUACCAACAGAAUAAGCACCGGCUAACUUCGUGCCAGCAGCCGCGGUAAUACGAAGGGUGCAAGCGUUAAUCGGAAUUACUGGGCGUAAAGCGCGCGUAGGUGGCUUGAUAAGUUGGAUGUGAAAUCCCCGGGCUCAACCUGGGAACUGCAUCCAAAACUGUCUGGCUAGAGUGCGGUAGAGGGUAGUGGAAUUUCCAGUGUAGCGGUGAAAUGCGUAGAUAUUGGAAGGAACACCAGUGGCGAAGGCGACUACCUGGACUGACACUGACACUGAGGUGCGAAAGCGUGGGGAGCAAACAGGAUUAGAUACUUG